rnacentral:rRNA from 1 species
GAGUUUGAUCCUGGCUCAGGAUGAACGCUAGCGACAGGCCUAACACAUGCAAGUCGAGGGGCAUCGGGGCGAGGAGCAAUCCUUGCCGCCGGCGACCGGCGCACGGGUGAGUAACGCGUAUGCGACCUGCCCGUUGCAGGGGGAUAAUCGGGAGAAAUCCCGUCUAAUACCGCGUAACGCCGCGGGGCUGCAUGGCCCUGCGGCCAAAGGAAGCGAUUCCGGCAACGGAUGGGCAUGCGUGACAUUAGCUAGUUGGCGGGGCAACGGCCCACCAAGGCGACGAUGUCUAGGGGUUCUGAGAGGAAGGUCCCCCACACUGGUACUGAGACACGGACCAGACUCCUACGGGAGGCAGCAGUGAGGAAUAUUGGUCAAUGGGCGCGAGCCUGAACCAGCCAAGUCGCGUGAGGGAUGACGGCCCUACGGGUUGUAAACCUCUUUUGUCGGGGAGCAAAUUCCGCCACGUGUGGCGGAGUCGAGAGUACCCGAAGAAAAAGCAUCGGCUAACUCCGUGCCAGCAGCCGCGGUAAUACGGAGGAUGCGAGCGUUAUCCGGAUUUAUUGGGUUUAAAGGGUGCGUAGGCGGACUGUCAAGUCAGCGGUAAAAUACGGGGGCUCAACCUCCGCCCGCCGUUGAAACUGACGG